rnacentral:rRNA from 1 species
CCCUUAGAUGGUCUGGGCGGCACGCGCGCUACAAUGAUGCAUUCAAAAAGUCUUCUGACCUUAGAAGGUUGGGUAUUCUCCAAAGUGCAUCGUGAUGGGAAUAGUUUAUUGCAAUUUUUAAUCUUGAACGAGGAAUUCCUAGUAAGUACAGGUCAUCAACUUGUGUUGAUUACGUCCCUGCCCUUUGUACACACCGCCCGUCGCUCCUACUGAUUGAGUGUCUCGGUGAAUUCUUUGAUCUUCUGUCGAUUCAGCUCACUGAUCCGACGGUGGAAAGUUGAAUGAACUUCGUCACUUAGAGGAAGGAGAAGUCGUAACA